rnacentral:rRNA from 1 species
GGAACAAUGUAGGCAAGGGAAGUCGGCAAAAUGGAUCCGUAACUUCGGGAAAAGGAUUGGCUCUGAGGGCUGGGCUCGGGGGUCCCAGUUCCGAACCCGUCGACUGUUGGCGGGCUGCUUGAGCCGCUAACGUGGCGAGAGCGGACCGCCUCGUGUCGGCCGGGGGACGGACUGGGAACGGCUCUUUCGGGAGCUUUCCCAAAACUUGGUGUGUUUUACAAGUGAGGGGUGAUCCCCUUUAUAUACACCUUCUCCUCCUCAACGGACGGUCCAGAUCAAACCGAUCUAACGGUUGUGAGUGUUCUUCUCAAAUGUUCUACACUCUUCUACACUUCUCUACACUUC